rnacentral:rRNA from 1 species
UGUGGCUGCGUGACCGGUCUACCACCGGGAUGUUCAUAACCCUUUGUUGUCCGACUCUGUUGCCUCCGGGGCGACCCUGCCUUCGGGCGGGGGCUCCGGGUGGACACUUCAAACUCUUGCGUAACUUUGCAGUCUGAGUAAACUUAAUUAAUAAAUUAAAACUUUUAACAACGGAUCUCUUGGUUCUGGCAUCGAUGAAGAACGCAGCGAAAUGCGAUAAGUAAUGUGAAUUGCAGAAUUCAGUGAAUCAUCGAAUCUUUGAACGCACAUUGCGCCCCCUGGUAUUCCGGGGGGCAUGCCUGUUCGAGCGUCAUUUCACCACUCAAGCCUCGCUUGGUAUUGGGCAACGCGGUCCGCCGCGUGCCUCAAAUCGACCGGCUGGGUCUUCUGUCCCCUAAGCGUUGUGGAAACUAUUCGCUAAAGGGUGUUCGGGAGGCUACGCCGUAAAACAACCCCAUUUCUAAGGUUGACCUCGGAUCAGGUAGGGAUACCCGCUGAACUUAAGCAUAUCAAGGCCCGGAGGGAAAA